rnacentral:rRNA from 1 species
CUGUAGGUGAACCUGCGGAGGGAUCAUUACUGAGUGAGGGCCUUCGGGCUCGACCUCCAACCCUUUGUGAACACAACUUGUUGCUUCGGGGGCGACCCUGCCGUUUCGACGGCGAGCGCCCCCGGAGGCCUUCAAACACUGCAUCUUUGCGUCGGAGUUUAAGUAAAUUAAACAAAACUUUCAACAACGGAUCUCUUGGUUCUGGCAUCGAUGAAGAACGCAGCGAAAUGCGAUAAGUAAUGUGAAUUGCAGAAUUCAGUGAAUCAUCGAAUCUUUGAACGCACAUUGCGCCCUCUGGUAUUCCGGAGGGCAUGCCUGUUCGAGCGUCAUUUCACCACUCAAGCCUGGCUUGGUAUUGGGCGCCGCGGUGUUCCGCGCGCCUCAAAGUCUCCGGCUGAGCUGUCCGUCUCCAAGCGUUGUGAUUUCAUUAAGCGCUUCGGAGUGCGGGUGGCCGCGGCCGUUAAAUCUUUCACAAGGUUGACCUCGGAUCAGGUAGGGAUACCCGCUGAACUUAAGCAUAUCAAUAA